GACGAACGCUGGCGGCGUGCUUAACACAUGCAAGUCGAACGGAAAGGCCCUGCUUUUGUGGGGUGCUCGAGUGGCGAACGGGUGAGUAACACGUGAGUAACCUGCCCUUGACUUUGGGAUAACUUCAGGAAACUGGGGCUAAUACCGGAUAGGAGCUCCUGCUGCAUGGUGGGGGUUGGAAAGUUUCGGCGGCUGGGGAUGGACUCGCGGCUUAUCAGCUUGUUGGUGGGGUAGUGGCUUACCAAGGCUUUGACGGGUAGCCGGCCUGGGAGGGUGACCGGCCACAUUGGGACUGAGAUACGGACCAGACUCCUACGGGAGGCAGCAGUGGGGAAUAUUGCACAAUGGGCGGAAGCCUGAUGCAGCAGCGCCGCGUGCGGGAUGACGGCCUUCGGGUUGUAAACCGCUUUCGCCUGUGACGAAGCGUGAGUGACGGUAAUGGGUAAAGAAGCACCGGCUAACUACGUG
rnacentral:rRNA from 1 species